rnacentral:rRNA from 1 species
AACGAACGCUGGCGGCAUGCCUAACACAUGCAAGUCGAACGAGACCUUCGGGUCUAGUGGCGCACGGGUGCGUAACGCGUGGGAACCUGCCCUUAGGUUCGGAAUACCUCCCCGAAAGGGGUGCUCAUACCGGAUAAUGUCUUCGGACCAAAGAUUUAUGGCCUUUGGAUGGGCCCGCGUUGGAUUAGCUAGUUGGUAGGGUAAAAGCCUACCAAGGCGACGUUCCAUAGCUGGUCGGAGAGGAGGAUCAACCACACUGGGACUGAGACACGGACCAGACUCGUACGGGACGGAGCAGUGGGGAAUAUUGGGCGAUGGGCGAAAGUCUGAUCCAGCAGUGCGGCGUGAGUGAUGAAGGCCUUAGUGUUGUAAAGCUCUUUUACCCGGGAUGAGAAUGACAGUACCGGGAGAAUAAGCACCGGCUAACUACGUG